rnacentral:lncRNA from 1 species
CAACAGGGUGACCAUAGUUGAUAACAACUUAAUUGUACCUUUAAAAAUAAUGUAAUUGGAUUGUUUGUAACACAAAGAACAAAUGCUUCAGGGGUUGGAUACCCCAUUCUCCAUGAUGUGAUUAUUACGCAUUGCAGGCCUAUAUUAAAACAUCUCAUGUACCCCAUAAAUAUACACACUUACUAUGUAGCCACAAAAAUUAAAAAUAAACUAAUUUAAAUAAAAAUAAAAAAUCUUUACUCAUAAAAAUAUCUUCAAAUUUGAAAGCAAACUAGAGAUAUUUUAAACAACUAAAAUUCAUUACCAACAAACAUGAAUUAUAAGCAAAAUUUAGAUUGGAAAGAAAGCAGUAAAAUUACAAUGGACAGUAGAAAGAAAUAAAAUAUGUAUUAGGAAGGAAGCAGUGAAACAGGCCGUGUAAAAAGUCCUAAAAAAUGUAAAAAGAUAGCUACUAGUACAAAUAAGUGAUUUUUACAAGGUUAUAGAAUACAAAGCUAAUAUACACUCCAUUAAAAUAAAAAAACUGCUCUUUAAAACAGUGAUCCCCAAACUUCCUGGCAGCAGGAAACAGUUUCGUGGAAGACAAACAGACUGGGGAGCUGGGGGGAUGGUAGAGAUGGUUUCGGGAUGAUUCAAGUGCAGUAUAUUUAUUGGGCACUUCAUUUCUAUUAUUACAUUGUAAUAUAUAAUGAAAUAGUUAUACAACUCACCAUAAUGUAGAAUCAGUGGGAGCCCCAAGUUUGAUUCCCUGAAACUAGACGGUCCUAUCUGGGGACGAUGGGACACAGUAACAGAUCAUCAGGCAUUAGAUUCUCAUAAGGAGCACACAACCUAGAUCCCUCGCAUGCACAGUUCACAAUAGGGUUUGUGCUCCUGUGAGAAUCU